rnacentral:rRNA from 1 species
GACGAACGCUGGCGGCGUGCCUAAUACAUGCAAGUCGAGCGAAGCGGCGGAUGGGGGAGUAACGCGUGGGUAACCUGCCCUUAAGUCUGGGAUACCAUAUGGCAACAGAUGAUAAUAACGGAUACUAAAGGAUGGACCUGCGGUGCAUUAGCUAGUUGGUAAGGUAACGGCUUACAAAGGCGAUGAUGCAUAGCCGAGUUGAGAGGCUGAUCGGCCACAUUGGGACUGAGACACGGCCCAAACUCCUACGGGAGGCAGCAGUAGGGAAUCUUCCACAAUGGACGAAAGUCUGAUGGAGCAACGCCGCGUGAGUGAAGAAGGUUUUCGGAUCGUAAAGCUCUGUUGUUGGUGAAGCGGUAAUCAACCAGAAAGUCACGGCUAACUACGUGCCAGCAGCCGCGGUAAUAC